AUCGCUUCUCGGCCUUUUGGCUAAGAUCAAGUGUAGUAUCUGUUAUUAUCAGUUUAAACUUGCCCAGAUGUUCUCUUGUAUAUUCUAAUGGAACAAAUGUGCCCUUC
rnacentral:snRNA from 1 species